rnacentral:rRNA from 1 species
CCUACGGGAGGCAGCAGUGAGGAAUAUUGGUCAAUGGGCUUACGCCUGAACCAGCCAAGUCGCGUGAGGGAAGACUGCCCUAUGGGUUGUAAACCUCUUUUGUCAGGGAGCAACGCCGGCUACGUGUAGCCGGACUGAGAGUACCUGACGAAAAAGCAUCGGCUAAGUCCGUGCCAGCAGCCGCGGUAAUACGGAGGAUGCGAGCGUUAUCCGGAUUUAUUGGGUUUAAAGGGUGCGUAGGCGGAAUGCCAAGUCAGCGGUAAAAGCGCGGGGCUCAACCUCGCUCCGCCGUUGAAACUGGCGUUCUUGAGUGGGCGAGAAGUAUGCGGAAUGCGUGGUGUAGCGGUGAAAUGCAUAGAUAUCACGCAGAACUCCGAUUGCGAAGGCAGCAUACCGGCGCCCAACUGACGCUGAAGCACGAAAGCGUGGGUAUCGAACAGGAUUAGAUACCCUGGUAGUC